AAACUCUAUAUAUGUGAUUGAUCUGUUAGGUGAUCUUUGAGGGACGUAGAGGAAGCACAUCCCUGUCAGAUGUUUCCAUUGAUGAUGUCUCUCUACACAAAGGAACCUGUGAUGAUUUAACAAACCCAUUGCCACCCGGACCCAUCCCAACUACAACCAGACCUACCCCAACUACAACCAGACCCACCGAAACCACAACUGCGCCCAUAACAACUACCACCUCAGGUGGUGGAAGUGCAGUUUGUAACCUGAACUGUGAUUUUGACGGUGAUAUCUGCGCUUGGAGUCAGAUGCCGACUGAUGCUUUUGAUUGGACAAGACACACAGGCUCCACCCCCUCUUUGAUGACUGGCCCCUCCUCUGACCACACAACAGGAAGUG